rnacentral:tRNA from 1 species
GGAGAGCUGGCCGAGUGGCUGAAGGCGCACCCCUGCUAAGGGUGUAUACGUUAACGCGUAUCGAGGGUUCGAAUCCCUCGCUCUCCG